rnacentral:tRNA from 1 species
CGGAGGUCGGACUCAAGGGGAGUCUCCCGUUUUGGAGACGGGAUAUCAGGCAAGUUCGAUUCUUGCACCUCCGACCA